CAGCACUGUCUUUGAACCUGUGGAGCCCCUUCAUGGCUCAAUGGGCCAAGCAACAGUGCAAAAGUAAAGGCUUGUUAUAACUGGAGCCUCUUGGAUUUUCCCCCCAAGGUGCUCUUUUAAAAGCAAACUACAGUU